rnacentral:rRNA from 1 species
CCCGUGUACAAGCGAGGUAGGAGCCAUGUAGGAAAAUCCGCGUGGCAAUCCGAAGACGUGAUGUGGACCGAACUUUCAGUAGGGAAGUAUGUGAGCCAUGUGCCGGGAAAAGCCGCUAUUGUUCAUACCGCACCCGUACCGUAAACCGACACAGGUGGAUGAGGAGAGAAUCCUAAGGCCGACGGAAGAAGCAUUGUUAAGGAACUCGGCAAAAUAGCCCCGUAACUUCGGGAGAAGGGGUGCCUGGGAAACCAGGCCGCAGAGAAUAGGCUCAAGCAACUGUUUAGCAAAAACACAGGUCUAUGCAAAACCGAAAGGUGAGGUAUAUGGGCUGACGCCUGCCCGGUGCUGGAAGGUUAAGAGGAGAGCUUAGCGCAAGCGAAGGUUUGAAUUUAAGCCCCAGUAAACGGCGGCCGUAACAAUAACGGUCCUAAGGUAGCGAAAUUCCUUGUCGGGUAAGUUCCGACCCGCACGAAAGGCGUAAUGAUUUGAGCGCUGUCUCGACAAUGCAUCCGGUGAAAUUGAAGUACCAGUGAAGAUGCUGGUUACCUGCGCCAGGACGGAAAGACCCCAUGGAGCUUUACUCCAGCUUGACACUGGGAUUCGGUAAUGCAUGUACAGGAUAGGUGGGAGGCUAAGAAAUGAGGACGCCAGUCUUCAUGGAGCCGCUGUUGGGAUACCACCCUUGCGUUAUUGGAUUUCUAACCUGCCGCCGUUAGCCGGCGGGGGGACAAUGUCUGGCGGGGAGUUUGACUGGGGCGGUCGCCUCCGAAAGUGUAUCGGAGGCGCCCAAAGGUUCCCUCAGAAUGGUUGGAAACCAUUCGAAGAGUGCAAAGGCAGAAGGGAGCUUGACUGCGACACCGACGGGUGGAGCAGGUACGAAAGUAGGGCUUAGUGAUCCGGUGGUAUUAAGUGGGAAUGCCAUCGCUCAACGGAUAAAAGCUACCCUGGGAUAACAGGCUUAUCACUCCCAAGAGUUCACAUCGACGGAGUGGUUUGGCACCUCGAUGUCGGCUCAUCGCAUCCUGGGGCUGUAGUAGGUCCCAAGGGUUGGGCUGUUCGCCCAUUAAAGCGGUACGCGAGCUGGGUUCAGAACGUCGUGAGACAGUUCGGUCCCUAUCCGGCGCGGGCGUAGGAUAUUUGAGAGGAGCUGCCCUUAGUACGAGAGGACCGGGGUGGACUGACCUCUGGUGUACCGGUUGUCAUACCAAUGGCACGGCCGGGUAGCCAAGUCGGGCCGGGAUAAACGCUGAAGGCAUCUAAGCGUGAAGCCCCCCUCAAGAUGAGAUAUCCCAAGACCCCUUGAAGAACACGAGGUAGAUAGGACAGAGGUGGAAGUACAGUAAUGUAUGGAGCUGACUGUUACUAAUCGGUCACAAGCUUAAC